ACAGCAAUUAGAUUUGGGCCGGGUCCGUUUUCAAGUCAGCAGAUCCGCAUAGCAGUCACAGUCAUUUUGCCGAUCAGCGGCAGCUCCGAUCCGGACCAGUAGUUUGACAGUCAGUUUUGAAGGCUCCUGGCGGAUGCGGGCCAGAUAAGCAAUCCGGACGCGCCAUAAUAAAAUAAUUCAGUCCGAUUUGAAGGCGCGUGGCGGGUGCGGGCCACAUAAGCAAUCCGGACGCGCCAAAACUGAAUUUGUUCCCCAACUGUCACUUUCCCGGAACCCUCAGAGAGAGACCGUUCUUCAGUUUACCUCAGCUGAACUCAACUAUCCGCCUGUGUCGCGUCUCGUCCAACACUGCACUGUCGUGACUUGAUCAUGAAUUGUACGGUAGGUACAACCAUUCCUUGAUCGACCCGACACCAACAUUAGGCCUACUCGAUGUGUAUGAAGCAAGCUGCCUCUGCAUCAAGUGAGAGAAGAAGCCGCCACUGAAAAGCUUUUUGGACUGUCAUUUGAAGGACACAAAUGAAAGGACAGGAAUUCUGCUCUGCGGCGUUGGCCUCACUAUUUAUUCAAGAAGCCCUCGGACACCACCAGAAUGUAUGAAAAUUGUAAACAGUAGGCACAGUCAUUCCUUCAUCGACCUGGCAUCAACAUCGCUCGAUGUGUAUGAAGCUGCAAGUGAGAGAAGAAGCCGCCACUGAACACCUUUUUGGACUGUCAUGUGAGUGUAUGAGCUGACAAUUUAACUUCUUUAACUGUUGAUUCUGCUAAGACCUAUGUAAGUGGCAUGAUAAUGUCUCAUUUACACUAAUGUAUGUCAAGCUGGUCUCAGGCUAACAAGACUACCAUGAAAUCUUAAAGUUUUGGACAGACGUCCGUCUCAAUUUCACCAUUGUG